GAUGAAGAACGCAGCGAAAUGCGAUAAGUAAUGCGAAUUGCAGAAUUCCAGUGAGUCAUCGAAUCUUUGAACGCACAUUGCGCCCCUCGGCACUCCGGGGGGCAUGCCUGUCCGAGCGUCAUUGCACCCCUCGAGCCCCCCGUGGCUUGGUCGUGAGCCGCGCCCGCGCCAGCCCCGUCCCCCCCCGUGCAGCGGGGGGCAGGGGCGCCGGGCGGGCUCGAAACGCAGUGGCGGCCCCCGGGCGACUUCCAGCGCGAUGACAUGUUUCGCUGCCGAAGCCUUCGCCCCGGGCGCCCGCCAGGCAACCCCCGUGCUUCUUACGCGGUUGACCUCGGAUCAGGCAGGGAUACCCGCUGAACUUAAGCAUAUCAAUAAGCGGAGGA
rnacentral:misc_RNA from 1 species